AGGGUUUGAUUCUGGCUCAGGACGAACGCUGGCGGCGCGCCUAACACAUGCAAGUCGAACGGAGCUUGCUUGUCAGAUCCUUUCGGGGUGACGAUUUGUAAGCUUAGUGGCGAACGGGUGAGUAACACGUGAGUAACCUGCCCCAGAGUGGGGGACAACAGUUGGAAACGACUGCUAAUACCGCAUAAGCCCACGGAACCGCAUGGUUCAGAGGGAAAAGGAGCAAUUCGCUUUGGGAUGGACUCGCGUCCGAUUAGCUAGAUGGUGAGGUAACGGCCCACCAUGGCGACGAUCGGUAGCCGGACUGAGAGGUUGAUCGGCCACAUUGGGACUGAGACACGGCCCAG
rnacentral:rRNA from 1 species